AGCAGCCGCGGUAAUUCCAGCUCCAAUAGCGUAUAUUAAAGUUGUUGCAGUUAAAAAGCUCGUAGUUGAAUUUCGGGGUUAGUAGGCUGGUCAUGCCUCCGGUAUGUACUGGUCUCACUGAUUCCUCCCUCCUGACGAACCUUAAUGCCAUUAAUUUGGUGUUUUGGGAAAUUUGGACUGUUACUUUGAAAAAUUAGAGUGUUUAAAGCAAGCUAACGCUUGAAUACAUUAGCAUGGAAUAAUGAAAUAGGACGUUCGAUCCUAUUUCGUUGGUUUCUAGGAUCGACGUAAUGAUUAAUAGGGAUAGUUGGGGGCAUUAGUAUUCAAUUGUCAGAGGUGAAAUUCUUGGAUUUAUUGAAGACUAACUACUGCGAAAGCACUUGCCAAGGAUGUUUUCAUUAAUCAGUGAACGA
rnacentral:rRNA from 1 species